CGGACGCCCAACGCUUUGUGAUACACUUUCGAAGAGUCGAGUUGUUUGGGAAUGCAGCUCAAAUUGGGUGGUAAAUUCCAUCUAAAGCUAAAUAUUGGCGAGAGACCGAUAGCGAACAAGUACCGUGAGGGAAAGAUGAAAAGCACUUUGGAAAGAGAGUUAACAGUACGUGAAAUUGUUGGAAGGGAAACGCUUGAAGUCAGACUUGCUUGCCGAGCAAUCGGUUUGCAGGCCAGCAUCAGUUUUCCGGGGUGGAUAAUGGUAGAGAGAAGGUAGCAGUUUCGGCUGUGUUAUAGCUCUCUGCUGGAUACACCUUGGGGGACUGAGGAACGCAGUGUGCCUUACGGCGGAUUUCUCGAGAUCUUCACACUUAGGAUGCUGGUGGAAUGGCUUUAAACGACCCGUCUUGAAACACGGACCAAACACG
rnacentral:rRNA from 1 species